CUUCCCAGGUGAGGCUCGAACUCACAGCCUCGGCAUUACCUCGCAGAUACUGGUUAAGUACGCAGCAGGCCAACCAAUUGCGCCACUGGGGA